AACGAACGCUGGCGGCAUGCCUAACACAUGCAAGUCGAACGAGACCUUCGGGUCUAGUGGCGCACGGGUGCGUAACGCGUGGGAACCUGCCCUUAGGUUCGGAAUAACUCCCCGAAAGGGGUGCUAAUACCGGAUAAUGUCUUCGGACCAAACAUUUAUCGCCUUUGGAUGGGCCCGCGUUGGAUUAGCUAGUUGGUAGGGUAAAAGCCUACCAAGGCGACGAUCCAUAGCUGGUCUGAGAGGAUGAUCAGCCACACUGGGACUGAGACACGGCCCAGACUCCUACGGGAGGCAGCAGUGGGGAAUAUUGGACAAUGGGCGAAAGCCUGAUCCAGCAAUGCCGCGUGAGUGAUGAAGGCCUUAGGGUUGUAAAGCUCUUUUACCCGGGAUGAUAAUGACAGUACCGGGAGAAUAAGCGCCGGCUAACUCCGUG
rnacentral:rRNA from 1 species